UUUAAGGGCGGAUUCUAACAACCUCCACUACCAACACCGUUUGACUGAACAAAUGUGAAGAAAAACGGCAUCAUCAUCAUGAAACGAGCUACUCUAUUAUUGGAAUUAGUCUUAUCUUUUCAUCAGCAUGAAAAGUAUCCUAUCAUUUCUCUUUCUGAAUUCCUGCUCUUCGUCUAUUCAGAUGAGAACAACCCUAUCGGCGAUGAACUUUGGUAUAGUGUUAUUCUAAUGGCUGUUUUUGUUGCUCAUGAAUCUGGUGAUUGGGCUAUUAUUCUUUAGAGUAUUCACACUGUAUGUAUAUUUUUAAAUUCCAUGCAUGGUUUAAAUUUUAAAUUCAAUUAUGAUUUUAUGUUGCUGAAAUCUUUGGUUUUUGGUCCCUUACUGUUUUUCUUUGAGAAUAUUGCAUACUCUAUUAUUGUAUCAAUUUCAUCAACUGAGUCGAGAAUGGUAAAUUAAUUGCUUCAUUCUAAGCAAGGCUUCCUUGAGCUUAAAAUUGAAAUUGAUCGAUUUUUUGGCGUUAUCAAUGUAUCUAACUUGUUUGUUGAUUGUUUGCUUAUUAUGCGGUUACUUAUCUAGACGACUGAUAUGUAAAUUUAUGAAAUGAAAUCUAUGGAUGCGACAGUGAGGACAAACUUUGUUCCCUGUUCAGUUUCUUUUUGUUCUUGUUCCAGAUGCUUGAUUGCCUAAUCAGAAUAUAUCUUUUUGAAUAUGGAUUCAACACAUCCUCUGCCUCUCACAACAACAAAUGAAACCUGUUGAGCCGCUUUUUCUUUUCUUCAAGCACAUUUUGGUCAUAAAUACCCUGUAAAUAGAUAUUUUCUUUUCUGAUAUAAUGUUAUGUACACUGCCCACUUUCCCUUUACUACCGUGGUAUGAGGGAUUAUUUUAGCGUUCUGAUGCAUUUAUAAUUUGAUCUCUUUAGUGGUUGGCCUAUUCGAUGAGGAGAAAAUCCUAAUGUUGGGUAAAGAAAUCAAUGCUGUUGGGGUUUGCAGUUCUAGCAAUUGGACUCUUGAGAUAACAUCUUGCAAGGAUCUUCUCUUUUUUCUGUAAUUGCUUUCACUAGUAUUGGUAGUCAUUGAUAAUUGUUAGUAGCAAGUGUCGAGAAUUUUAAGUUGUUUGCUUCAGUGUUAGUAGUAUAUAUUGGAUUUUCUACACAAUACUGUUUGUUAGGCUUCCUAUAAAUUAGAAUAGAAUUUAAUUUAUGUUUUCGCAUUAUCUAUGUACCUUUCUAGUUUGUUGAUUGUUUGACAAUGUAUUUGGUCACUUUCUAGCUGACUGCUAUGUAAAUUUGUCAUAUUGAUGGAUGAGACACUGAUAACAAACUUUGUUCCCUGUUUUUGUUCCUUUUGUUCUUGUUGAAGAUGUUCGAUGGCCCCAAAUCGAAUAUGGAUGGUUCAACACAUCUUGUGCCUCUUAUAACAGUUUAUCAUCAGUUGAAAUCUAUUGUUCCUUAGCCUUAUACUAUCCUUCAAGCACUUUUUGGUCAUUAAUAACCUGUAAGCUAUUUAGAAAUGUCCUUUUCUGAUUUAAUGUCAUGAAAACUGUCUUCCGUUUUCGUGUAAUACUGCAUUUGGGGGAAUUUUUUAGCUUGCAUAUUCAAUUAUAAUUUGCUCUCUUUAAAGUUGGCCUACAUGAUGAAGAGAAAAUCCUACAGAUGUUUUAAGAAAUCAAUGCUGCUAGGGUUUACCUUUUUACGCUGGGACUCUUGAGAUAAAAUCUUGCAAGGAGUGUGUCUUGGUUUAGGCAUUUUUGAUCCAAUUUUGCUUGUUUGUUGGUUUUAUAUGCAAAUUUUGUAGCAACCACUUCUCAAUACAUCUGUCUUUUUAGUUUCACGCUUCUGUUAAGAUGAUAUAUUUUAGCAACUUCAGAUAUGAGAUUAUUUAAACAAGUGGUAUAAUUCUUGGAUGCUAUUGUAUUCUUUGCUAUGCUGCAAGGAGGUAUGAUUUGCAUGAAAUUUAUGUAAUUUAUGUGCUGAUUUACGAUUUGAAAUGAACAUAUAGCUCAAAGAGGAGAUAAAAUAGUUUUUAGAAUCUGAUCUUAACUCUGGUAUAAAAGGAAAUCAUUGAUCUAUGUAUGAUCUGAAUUUACAGCUUCAUUAAUCAGUAUCUGAUUCAGUAAUUGAUGCUAUGUUUUUAUAUGCAAAAGGAAUGGAAGUAUGUAGGCAAUAGAGACAGGUACGACGAGAACAAAACCGUUCUAUUUGGGUGGCCCUCAGAUUGAUGCAGAGGAUAAAGCAGACAAUGUACUCGAUGGACAGUUGUGUGGUUUGCUUGAUGAGGCUAAAACGCUCAGCGUUCAUUCCAUGCGGUUAUCUUGUUUGUUGCUAACUCUGGGCUGCUGAGCUGCUGUUGAAUUUGAGGUGUUGAAUUGUCCUCUCUGUCGACAGGCAGUGAGAAGUGAGAAAUUCGUUGAGGGUAUGGCUGUUGAGAAUGAAGAGUUACAGUGUCCUUUUUGAAUAGACAAUGGUCUGUUAUCUGUGAUAGACCAUAGAGGUCACAAUGUUGUUGUUUUUGUUGCUUAGUGGAAAUUCCAAUCUGAUGUUAUAUUAAAUAUAUUGUCUUUUUUUAAGUUUUUCAUUAAAAUAUAUUUAAUCGUAGAAGGUAAAAUCAAUUCAAGUAAAAAAUUAUUUUUGUAGCAUCGCACGAGCUACUCUAUUGUUGUCUUUUCAUCAUAUGAUUUUGGUGAAGGAACACUAUUAAUAUGGGUGAUCAUGACAAUGUAUUUCCAGUAUAUUUGGCUUAUCAUAUACAGAGGCACUUGGGUUAAAAGUCAAAGUUAGAAAUCGUGAAGGACACAGGACAUGCUCUAAAUAUCGAAUCGCCUCAUGCUUUGAACAGGCUAAUUACAUCUUAUUUAACUAUAAAAUUCAGACUCAAAUUGUUGGCCUACUUGAUGAGGAGAAAAUCCUACCGUUGGGUAAAGAAAUCAAUGUUGUUAGGGUUUGCAGUUCUAACAAUGGGACUCUUGA